rnacentral:rRNA from 1 species
CGUUUAGGGGUAAACCUGAGAAACCCGAAAGGUCGAAGGGAGAAAUUCAUUCGCGUUUCGUUGCAGGCGUCGAGCGGUCGAGUGACGUAAAAAAUAAGCUUGCUUAUUUUUGCGCACCUUCCGUUCGUUCGAACCGGUGACGAACGCGUGCACUUUUCUCCUGGUAGGACGUCGCGAUCCGUUGAGUGUCGGUCUACGGCUCAUAGUGGAGCCCGUUUGUUAUAAUUUACGUUGUACGGACGGACCUAUGACGUUCCUGGCCGAUUCAAACACUAUCGACGGUAUACGAAUGGUUCGAGGCCGCUCUUUUCUUACGAGCGUCUAACCGAUAACAAGUGCGCUGAAUGUUUGUCGAUGAUCGGACCUAGUGCCGAUUACGACCUUCGGUGACUGUUGGUUGUCGAGUUCUUGGACAGACCUCGUUGUUAAUUUUUCGAAAUUAACAUAACCAAUCGGCGACGCUAUAGCUUUGGGUACUUUCAGGACCCGUCUUGAAACACGGACCAAGGAGUCUAGCAUGUGCGCAAGUCAUUGGGAUUUAAUCUAAACCUAAAGGCGCAAUGAAAGUAAAGAUCUUCCUUGUGAAGAUCGAGGGAGGAUAAAUGGUUUUGCCCUUAAAAGCUACCAUUUUGCACUCCCGGGGCGUCUCGUUCUCAUUGCGAGAAGAGGCGCACCAAGAGCGUACACGCUGGGACCCGAAAGAUGGUGAACUAUGCCUGGU